GACGAACGCUUGCGGCGUGCUUAACACGUGCAAGUCGAACGGAAAGGCCCUGCUUUUGUGGGGUGCUCGAGUGGCGAACGGGUGAGUAACACGUGAGUAACCUGCCCUUGACUUUGGGAUAACUUCAGGAAACUGGGGCUAAUACCGGAUAGGAGCUCCUGCUGCAUGGUGGGGGUUGGAAAGUUUCGGCGGUUGGGGAUGGACUCGCGGCUUAUCAGCUUGUUGGUGGGGUAGUGGCUUACCAAGGCUUUGACGGGUAGCCGGCCUGAGAGGGUGACCGGCCACAUUGGGACUGAGAUACGGCCCAGACUCCUACGGGAGGCAGCAGUGGGGAAUAUUGCACAAUGGGCGGAAGCCUGAUGCAGCAACGCCGCGUGCGGGAUGACGGCCUUCGGGUUGUAAACCGCUUUCGCCUGUGACGAAGCGUGAGUGACGGUAAUGGGUAAAGAAGCACCGGCUAACUACGUGCCAGCAGCCGCGGUGAUACGUAGGGUGCGAGCGUUGUCCGGAUUUAUUGGGCGUAAAGGGCUCGUAGGUGGUUGAUCGCGUCGGAAGUGUAAUCUUGGGGCUUAACCCUGAGCGUGCUUUCGAUACGGGUUGACUUGAGGAAGGUAGGGGAGAAUGGAAUUCCUGGUGGAGCGGUGGAAUGCGCAGAUAUCAGGAGGAACACCAGUGGCGAAGGCGGUUCUCUGGGCCUUUCCUGACGCUGAGGAGCGAAAGCGUGGGGAGCGAACAGGCUUAGAUACCCUGGUAGUCCACGCUGUAAACGGUGGGUACUAGGUGUGGGGUCCAUUCCACGGGUUCCGUGCCGUAGCUAACGCUUUAAGUACCCCGCCUGGGGAGUACGGCCGCAAGGCUAAAACUCAAAGGAAUUGACGGGGCCCCGCACAAGCGGCGGAGCAUGCGGAUUAAUUCGAUGCAACGCGUAGAACCUUACCUGGGUUUGACAUGGAUCGGGAGUGCUCAGAGAUGGGUGUGCCUCUUUUGGGGUCGGUUCACAGGUGGUGCAUGGCUGUCGUCAGCUCGUGUCGUGAGAUGUUGGGUUAAGUCCCGCAACGAGCGCAACCCUUGUUCACUGUUGCCAGCACGUUAUGGUGGGGACUCAGUGGAGACCGCCGGGGUCAACUCGGAGGAAGGUGGGGAUGACGUCAAGUCAUCAUGCCCCUUAUGUCCAGGGCUUCACGCAUGCUACAAUGGCUGGUACAGAGAGUGGCGAGCCUGUGAGGGUGAGCGAAUCUCGGAAAGCCGGUCUCAGUUCGGAUUGGGGUCUGCAACUCGACCUCAUGAAGUCGGAGUCGCUAGUAAUCGCAGAUCAGCAACGCUGCGGUGAAUACGUUCCCGGG
rnacentral:rRNA from 1 species